rnacentral:lncRNA from 1 species
UUGAACCUACGUCGUCGACUCCAGUCCAAUCUUCGACCGCCGCAAACAUUCGAAUCUCCGUCGACCGAGGUGCCUCCACCUCUGGUCGGUUUGAGCUUAGCCAGGUUGGAGAGAUGAAACGAAGUAUUGACAGAAAGAUGCCGAAGUCGCGGCCCAUCGAAGCUGCUCUUGACCUUCACUGAUCGCAUCUCCCUGUUCUGCUAUGUUUGUUGUUCGG